rnacentral:lncRNA from 1 species
CACUGUUUUAAGAGGUUUGGAAGUGAAAGAUGAAUUUGAAAUAGAAAUACAAUAGAAAAUGUGUGUGUGUGUGUGUGUGUCUGGAAGAAAACUGUUGGCUGAGGGAUUAAGCCAGUAGAGAGGGAAAGAUGAAUGAUGAGACAGUGGGAAUCAGUGGGUAUUGAAUGCAAAAUGGUCCUGGAGAAGGCAGAAGGGAAUUAAAUCAAUGGCCAAUGCUGAAGAAUUAGCAUUGAAAGAAGGAAAGACUCUUUUUUUCUGAGAUACAACACAAGGAAGUAAAGGUGGGUACAUAAGUGAUGAGUUGUGAGGUUGAGAUGGGAGAUGGUAGGGAGUCCUUAGAUGGCCUGUCAGUGUAGAAAUGGUGAGGGCUAGGGAAGGUUUUGCAGGGGAGGUGAUAUUUGAACUAGGAGAUGUCUUUAGUGAAGUAGGAAGUGAAGCCUUUUGCUGGGAAGAAAAUGGGG